rnacentral:snoRNA from 1 species
UUUCCACUACAGAUUCAAGGGGGAAAAAAAGAUCCUUUUGCUUUCCAUUUGUUUGAUUGUGGCAGCAAAGAUUGAAUGGGGGAAUAUAGGA